UACACGACAUGCUACGCAAGUGGCAAAACAGACGCGUGUAAUUAUUCAUUGUCAAUGCUUAACAAAUAAAGAUCAUCAUUCGAUGCGAUAUAAAUGCCGCGCACCUGCAUUACGGCGCAUCAUUCUAUACGCAAAAUUUCAACAUGAAGUUGACAGUGGUGUUUCUAAUCAUGGCGAUCCUGGUCUGUGCCAUGUUCCAGGAAUCCGAACAAUUUUGGUGGGGGCAUAGGAAUUAUCGUAGGGGAGGAUGUCGCCGUAGAACCACGACUACAACUACAACAACAACUACAACUACAACUCCAGCAACUACUACUACGCCGAGAAAUAAUACUGGAUAGAAAAAG